GCUAAACAGCUAGCUUAAUCAUCAGAAUAACUAAAACAACAUUAAAAACUUUUACAAAACCACAACGACUUAAACUAAAACAUUCUACCGCCCAAGUAUGUGAGACAGAAAAGGCAUAACUAAGCCAUAGAAAAAGUACCGCAAGGGAACGCUGAAAGAGAAAUGAAAUAAAUCAUCAAAGCAUAAAAAAGCAGAGAUUAACCCUCGUACCUUUUGCAUCAUGCUUUAGCCAGUCUUAUUGAGCAAAGCGUACUUUAGUUCAAUCCCCCGAAACUAAGUGAGCUACCCCGAGACAGCCUAUUAAAAUUAGGGCCAACCCGUCUCUGUGGCAAAAGAGUGGGAAGAUCUCUGGGUAGGGGUGACAGACCUACCGAACUUAGUGAUAGCUGGUUGCCUAAAAAAUGAAUAGAAGUUCAGCCUCAUCCUCCCCAACUCACAAACAAUUAAAAACUAUACGAGCCAGGGUAAUAUGUGAGAGUUAGUCAAAGGGGGUACAGCCCCUUUGAAACAGGAUACAACCUCAUCAGGAGGUUAAAGAUUAUACUAAACAAGAUAUACCGCUCUGGUGGGCCUAAAAGCAGCCACCCAAAAAGAAAGCGUUAAAGCUCCGGCGGAGUAACAUCUAUUAUUUAAAUAUUUUAUCUAAAACCCCUAAUUUUAUUAGGCCACUCCAUGCCUACAUGGAAAAGAUACUGCUAAAAUGAGUAAUAAGAAGGAGCCCCCUUCUCCUUAGCCUGAGUGUAUACUAGAUCGGACCCCCCACUAGCAAUUAUCGAACCCAACAAAAGAGGGUAAUGUGAACAUAUUAGACACCAAGAAAUCCUCACACAACCCAAUCGUUAAACCCACACCGGAAGGCUACUAGGAAAGACUAAAAGAAAAGGAAGGAACUCGGCAAACACAAGCCUCGCCUGUUUACCAAAAACAUCGCCUCCUGCAAAAAACAACAUAUAGGAGGUCUUACCUGCCCAGUGACAAGUUAAACGGCCGCGGUAUUUUGACCGUGCGAAGGUAGCGCAAUCACUUGUCUUUUAAAUGAAGACCUGUAUGAAUGGUGGAACGAGGGCUUAACUGUCUCCCCUUUCAAGUCAAUGAAAUUGAUCUGCCCGUGCAGAAGCGGACAUAAAAAUACAAGACGAGAAGACCCUUUGGAGCUUAAGAUAUAAAAUCAACUAUGUCAAGAACCAUAAAGUCAAACUAAAUAGCACAUGAUUCUAAUCUUCGGUUGGGGCGACCACGGGAGAAAACCAAGCUCCCAUGAGGACUGGGGUAAACCCCUAAAACUAAGAAAGACAUUUCUAAGCCACAGAACAUCUGACCAUAGAGAUCCGGGCACACCGAUCAACGAACCAAGUUACCCUAGGGAUAACAGCGCAAUCCCCUUCCAGAGUCCAUAUCGACAAGGGGGUUUACGACCUCGAUGUUGGAUCAGGACAUCCUAAUGGUGCAGCCGCUAUUAAGGGUUCGUUUGUUCAACGAUUAAAGUCCUACGUGAUCUGAGUUCAGACCGGA
rnacentral:rRNA from 1 species